AUUGAACGCUGGCGGCAGGCCUAACACAUGCAAGUCGAACGGUAGCACAGAGAGCUUGCUCUCGGGUGACGAGUGGCGGACGGGUGAGUAACGUCUGGGAAACUGCCCGAUGGAGGGGGAUAACUACUGGAAACGGUAGCUAAUACCGCAUAACGUCGCAAGACCAAAGUGGGGGACCUUCGGGCCUCACACCAUCGGAUGUGCCCAGAUGGGAUUAGCUAGUAGGUGGGGUAAUGGCUCACCUAGGCGACGAUCCCUAGCUGGUCUGAGAGGAUGACAAGCCGCACUGGAACUGGGACACGGUCCAGACACCUACGGGAGGCAGCAGUGGGGAAUAUUGCACAAGGGGCGCAAGCCUGAUGCAGCCAUGCCGCGUGUAUGAAGACGGCCUUCGGGUUGUAAAGUACUUUCAGCGGGGAGGAAGGCGGUGAAGUUAAUAGCUUCACCGAUUGACGUUACCCGCAGAAGAAGCACCGGCUAACUCCGUGCCAGCCGCCGCCGUAA
rnacentral:rRNA from 1 species